rnacentral:rRNA from 1 species
UACGUAGGGUGCGAGCGUUGUCCGGAAUUAUUGGGCGUAAAGGGCUCGUAGGCGGUUUGUCACGUCAGGAGUGAAAACUCGGGGCUCAACCCCGAGCCUGCUUCUGAUACGGGCAGACUGGAGGUAUGCAGGGGAGAACGGAAUUCCUGGUGUAGCGGUGAAAUGCGCAGAUAUCAGGAGGAACACCGGUGGCGAAGGCGGUUCUCUGGGCCUUACCUGACGCUGAGGAGCGAAAGCGUGGGGAGCGAACAGG